rnacentral:rRNA from 1 species
UAUGUAUUAGUUAUAAAGUCUAGCCUGCCCACUGAUUUAUUUAAAGGGCCGCGGUAAUUUGACCGUGCGAAGGUAGCAUAGUCAGUAGUCUUUUAAUUGAAGGCUUGAAUGAAAGGUUGGACGAGAGAUAAGCUGUCUCCUGCUAUGUGUUCUGAAUUUAACUUUUAAGUGAAAAGGCUUAAAUUAUUUAAAGGGACGAUAAGACCCUAUAAAACUUGAUACAAGUCUAGCUUAAUUUGUGAUUUGAUGUGAAAAAUAGUUUUGUUUGACUUGUAUUUCAUUGGGGAGAUGAAGAUAUAAUCUGUAACUGUCUACAAAAUUUAAUAUCUAUAGUUAGUAGUUGAUCCCUCUUUGUGGAUUAAAAGAAUAAGUUACUUUAGGGAUAACAGCGUGAUUUUCUUUGAGAGUUCUUAUCGACAAGAGUAGUUGCGACCUCGAUGUUGAAUUAAAAUUUCAGCUAGGUGUAGCCGUUUAGCUGGUGGGUCUGUUCGACCUUUAAAAUUUUACAUGAUUUGAGUUCAAACCGGU